GACGAACGCUGGCGGCGUGCCUAAUACAUGCAAGUAGAACGCUGAAGGAGGAGCUUGCUUCUCUGGAUGAGUUGCGAACGGGUGAGUAACGCGUAGGUAACCUGCCUGGUAGCGGGGGAUAACUAUUGGAAACGAUAGCUAAUACCGCAUAAGAGUAGAUGUCGCAUGACAUUUGCUUAAAAGGUGCAAUUGCAUCACUACCAGAUGGACCUGCGUUGUAUUAGCUAGUUGGUGAGGUAACGGCUCACCAAGGCAACGAUACAUAGCCGACCUGAGAGGGUGAUCGGCCACACUGGGACUGAGACACGGCCCAGACUCCUACGGGAGGCAGCAGUAGGGAAUCUUCGGCAAUGGACGGAAGUCUGGCCGAGCAACGCCGCGUGAGUGAAGAAGGUUUUCGGAUCGUAAAGCUUUGUUGUAAGAGAAGAACGAGUGUGAGAGUGGAAAGUUCACACUGUGACGGUAUCUUACCAGAAAGGGACGGCUAACUACGUG
rnacentral:rRNA from 1 species